UUGCUAUGAUGUAAUUCUAUGAAAAUAGAAUCAUUCUGUUACUUAGUCUUGAAUUUUGAAUAAUUUUAUCUAUGAAGUACUGUUUUUGCGGUGGUACGUUGGAUCCGGCGUCUACCGUAGUUACGUUGGCAAUUUAACGGAAAUACUGGAUUCCUAAAUGAAAAUGAUCAUAUCAAGAGCUGGCCUGUCGUUAUGGAUGAAUAGUAGAAAAAAUCCGGCAAAAAAUUUAGGAAGGCCAGUAUCUGGUCUAUUUAUACCCUUUUGAAAGUAAUAAAGGAAUUUCCAAAGCAUGAAGAUGCUGGCAAAGCGCAUGUUCCCAAGUUUGAUUACUUGCAGUUCUAAGGCUGCUGGCAUCUUAGCACCUUUAAUUAUUCCUCCUGCACAUAUUGCUGCACUUUACUAUUUCUGGACAGAAUUUUCACGAGAUGUCGACAGGCGUCAUUGCUCCUGUUCUUGUUGGGACACCGUAUUCAAGGGCUCCUAUGAAUCUGGUGUUGCAUCUUAUAAGCAUAUGUAUUUUAACGCCACUGCUAAUACCAUAAAAAUAUGGUUUAUGAUAGUAAUUGGUAUAAUUACAUUUUACGAAAGUGUAAAAGAUUUAGCAUGGCUAGCUAUGCAAUGUCGUCUGAGAUUUAGAAUGUUGAUACUUUUUGGGACUGCAGUGUUUUCUCAUUACUAUUCAUGGUGGGUGUACAUAAAUUAUUGGAAUGACGAGUUUUAUUCCCAGUGGUAUCAUCAAUUGUUUUUCACUGCUACCGAAUUAUUGUCGACAAUUCUGGUCGUUCAUUUGGCUGAUGCAAAAAAUCCAAUUACACAUAGAAAAGCAUUUGGCAUCGCUGCUAUUGCAAUCAUGCAUAUUUUAGCUGGUAGUUGGGACCAGUUCAUUACCAAUGUUGUUAGAGGAGAGGGAUAUGCCCAUCAGGUAAUUCGAGAUCUGGGAUUCAUGAUUCCUGAUAUUCUCCAUGUUGCCAUCCCUCUAUGGUCUGUAGAAUGGCAUAAACCCUGUGGCCUACCUGGAGCUGAAUCCAACCAGAAUAUCAGACGUGAUCUCACAAUUAUUUCAGUACUGGUUAUACUCGGAUUGUGCUUUUGUGCUGCCCUGUGAUAUGCAAAACGAUGAGUUAGUAAUCAAAAUAAACGUGACCAGCUGGUUAGCGCUUAUCUCAAAAGCAUAGCGAUGACUGGAAAUAUCGAUUAUAACAGGGUGAUUGCUUGAUUCUCCAAGUAUGCAGCAAAAGAAUUACUCACGUAUGUAUCGCAAUUGAGAUUAACCUUAAGUUAGAAUGCAUUAUUUAGUUGCGUAGAUCCAAUGGUGAAGUUUAUGGACCAAUAUGUGUAACAAUGAAAGUACUGUUAUCGUUAAAGUUCGGGUUUUUUCAAAAUUGCAGUCUACAAUAUAGUGACAAUUUAAUUAUUGGCAAGUUUGACCUAAAAUUAAGGUGUCUAAGUAUCUAGUGUAGAUUCCUUAGUGUUCAACCAGUAGAAAGACAGAGAAACUCUGGAAUCCAGAUUCAGUGAGUGCUUUUAUUUGUAAGUCGAUUUAUCAACGUCUUUCACCAUAUCAAUGGUAUUCUUAGUAUAAAGUACGUAAUACGAACCCUAUGCAUGAAACUUUAAUUGAACAGUACAUAUUUAUUCACGAGUAUUCAAUAUUGACAAACAAACCUCACUAUUGGACCACUUUAGAUAAUGAUGUAGGUAAUUGUUGCUAGAUCUGAUAAAUGACUGAGCCUUCUGACAUGAAAAUUAAAUACGAAUUUGGACUUUGUUGAAAGCUGUUUCUAACUUUCAAAUUAUGUGAAUCAAAAAAAGCAGUCAAAGUCCUAAUAUGUUGAUCAAAGAGUGUUAAGGACUCAUAUACGAGUAGACGACUAAAAAAGUGAGUGGAUUUUGAAAAUUCAUAUCUCAACAACCAAUUAUUCUAGUCAAUUGGGUUCAUUUUGUUCAAGAGGAUGUAGAUCAAUCUAAAUUUAUCAUGAGCAAGCUAUUUGACGUUAUUGUCAAUAAAAAUCC